GCGCCCGUAGCUCAGCGGAUAGAGCGCCAGCCUCCGGAGCUGGAUGCCGUGGGUUCAAAUCCCGCCGGGCGCG
rnacentral:tRNA from 1 species